CUCCCACAAUUAUAAUGGAAUUGUUCACAAUUUGCCAUGCAAAUUCUAUAUGGGAUUCUGGCUUUGGCAUAGGUGCCAAUUCUUUCCAUUGUUUACCAUCACCAUCUAGCAUGUAAACAUCACCGUAUACAACCUAGACAGAACAGAUACAAAGAACAAUAUUAAUGAAGUGUGAUAGACAUUUGUCAACAUUUCUAUAAUAUCUUUAUAUCUAUUUCCAUGUUCUACAGAUUAUACUGAGAUUUAAACAAUCAAACAUUUUUUUUGUCUUGAUUGCAUUAUAAAAGUUAUAUUGUGAGCUGAGAAUGACCGGCAAAGAUCACAGUCAGUUUUGGAUUAUGAUAUGAUUGCAGAAAAAAUAGCAAUAUAAUUCCAUACCUGCUCCUUGCUUACACAAUGGAACAUAGGGGAUCCAGGUAUUGCAACAAAAUCACCUUCUUGUCCACCUAUGACAAAAAGUUUGUCAUUAGCAACAACACAGGCCCUAAAAUCACAAUAAGUUUGUCAGGACUCUAUAAAUGAUCACAUCAGAAAAGCACCAAACAAUAGGAAUGGAUCCAAACUCCCAAAAAAUAUUUCACUAAAUAAAAAAUCUGAAUAAAGAAAGGUAGUAGAGCUGUAGAGUAUAGAUUGAGAAACAAAAAACAUAGAUAAAAAAUGAUGAAUAAAACAAAUUCUAAACCCGACCUAUGAGGACCGCCAUGUGGUAUUGGUAUCUCUGGUCUCCAUUCUGUCUCCAAAGCCUUUCCAUUUUUUACAGCAAGACUCCAAUGCUCUAAUCCCAUCUGAUACCGAUCCUCUUUGCUUCCACCCAUAACAUGAAGCCUACCCCUCCAAAGUUGAGUGGCCGGAGCAUACCUAAAACCAUUGAUUCAUAUCUAAGAUCAAGCUCUGUUUAUUUAAAUAAUGAAUGAUCAAUUUCAUCAGAGAGAAGAAAUGUAAUGAUACCUAGGAACAGGCAAAGAAAGAAGAUCAUGCCACUCCUUAGUCUUCGUGUCUAGGACAAAGCAUCGUGAAAUAGAACUUCUGCAUUGCGGACCAUAUUGCCCAGAAAUAACGUAUAUAUAUCUUCCAUCUGUUACCAUUCCUAGAUGUGAAUGUGCCAUUUCUUUCGGCAUGUCAAAUCUCCCGUCCCAUGUAUUGCUUGUAAAAUUAUAAACAUCCACAUGUGAAUAUACCUGUAAAAAUUUACAUUAUAUCAUGAGUUUUACAGUUUUACUUUUACCUGAUUUGAAUUCAUAUGAUGAUCUGAUGAUUUAUCAGGUAAAUGAUCAGCAAUGAUUUGUUAGAGGUGAUUGCUUAAUUCUUAAAUUCCUCAGUAGUAAUAUAAAAUAGGGAUGUCUCACGACAGCAGUUUUUCUUGAUUCCUACAAAUGAAUAAAAAAAACCCAAGUCGGCAUCAGAUGAUCCGAAGUUUUGUUUAUAGUUGUUUCUUUUUAAAAAAGAAAACAGUGCGGGAGAAAAUUCCCUAGGACGCCACAAUGAAACUAUAGAUCAAUGUCAAAGACUCAAAAGUCAAAACUAAGGUUUUUAAAGCUAACCACCUAUAUUUUGCUGAACGAAAAUACCUUUAUAAUUAAUCAAAAUUUUCGGAAAUGCCAUUGGAUGUUUUUGAACACGGGUCUAUUGGGAGGUGACUAAGGUUGGGGAUUGGGAGGGAGAAGGAGAGAAUUGGAGAUGAUGGGUGAAGAUGUGGCUGAAGAGGAGAAUAUUCCGGUCUGCGUUCCGCCAAAGAAUGCUUUGUUACUUAUGAGAUGUAGAUCUGAUCCAUCGAGGGUCUCAGCUCUGAAGAACAGAUUCGAACUGGAAGUUGAAGAAGACGAAGAUGAUGACGCGGAGGAAGAUGACCGGAGAACACGAAGAAAAAGAGGUGUCCAGGACGUUGCAGCGGAGGUGAUGGAGGAAGAUGAGAAUGUGAGAUCUUCUAAAUUGAAUCGAAAAUGAAGGAGAGAAAACAAUACUUACAUGAUCAAUCGAACCGUAUCCGGCAAACACAUACAAAAGUUCCCCAAUCUGGACCGAGGCUCCAUCCAGCCGCACCACGGGCGCUUCUGGCAUCUCCUCCCAUUCCAGCAUUGGAGCCGGCAAAUCUGUAAACGUAGCAUUAAGAUUUUUCCUCACAACAGUUAAAUCUUCCUUCUUCACCAUCGAUUCUCCUCCAACUUCCUGCAACAAACAAUGAAUCUGAAUAUUAAAUCGGUGAAGUCUUAUUAAAGAUGGUAAAACUCGAGGGUUGAGUCACUCACCGUAUCGGAAAGGUUGUUGACGGAAGGGAGUUGACUGUUACCGAGGCUUGCGGGAGUGGACGAAGAAUAUAUGACAGUAGAGGACGAAGAUGUGAAGAACAAAUCGGUGAUGAAAACUAUUCCGACGAACAAUACGCAGGCGAUAGGGAUGAUGUACAUCCUCCCGCUCCACCAAUUCUGAUGAUUCUUUCCACCAUAUUUCGCCAUAAGGAUUAAGGAUCCGAAUAUAUCUGAUCACUGAGAACUAUGAUAUUUUCUUACCGUGAUCGGAUGACUGGUUAAUUCAGUGUCCAUUAAUAACGUGAUGGUGCGUGAUAAAUAAAACACAAUUGGAAUUGGGCAUGCAUGAAUCAGGAUGAAUGAAGGUGGGACCUACCAACUGAUUGCUUAUAUAGGAUGACAAUGACCCAAUAAAAACUUAAGUAUAUUUAUUCCAUCAUUUACAACUUAUAGUAAAUCCUAAAAAUACCUCAAAACUAGAUUUGGAAUUUAGUUAUACAAAAAGAUUUACGGGAACUAUUAAAAUUUCUGAGGAUUUAAAAUUAUUCAGAGACAAGGGCAGUAAUAUCCGAACUUUUAAAAUAUAUUUAUUAGACAAGGAAAUUAAUUCAAUUUGUUACAAUAAUUAUUAAAGUUGUUCAAAGUCUUACGAAACUUUCAUUUAAUUUUCUACCCUGAUUUAACCGAUAAUAUUUAUAUGACUCUUUCUUCUUUUUAUUUAUAAAAAGGUCUAGUAAGUUGCAAGAAAUAGCCAAUGCUACCCUUGACUUUAGUGACAAUUUUAGUUACUUUGUAUUUAAUACUUUGAUUAUUAUAGAAUGAAAUAAUAAUGUUGUAGUCUUGUAGAUGUGUCAUGUUGAAAUUUGAAAAAAUAAAAUCUAUAUAUUAACUAUUAAUAGUAAAAAAAAAUUAACAUUUCAAUAAUUAAAAUCAAAGGAAAAUUCUGUUUCAGCCCAUGAUUUCGUAGGGAAGAUUUCACGUUGAGAUUAGACCUUUGUGGUUGCACCACGUUGAGAGCACUGCGACGAAUGUCGUUGAAUCCGAUGUCGUUGUCAUCGUUGCAUGACGUAGGCUUUGAUCAUAGAAUUCCAGGUAAUCAAAUCGGGAUCGGAACAUCGUCGGGCACAAAACAUGGGCUGAAAUUUAAUUGUCCCUAAAAUCAAUACCCAUUCUCGGGCAACUUUGUAGAUUUAUAUUAAACUUGAAGGGUUUUAUUGAAAAUUGUAAAUAAUUUUUGAGGACAUUGAGAUUUGAUCAGAAAGGAACAUAGCGGUUUACAGACCGGGAAUUUACAAGGUAAAUUCUAGCCGUUUGAAUUUACAAGGUAAUAUAUGAAUUUGACUAUUGGUAAUUUGAUAUAUAUAUCAUUCAAAGAUUUUGCUCUUUUAGGAAGAAUUUCCCAUGCUUUCAAAAUAAAGUUACACCUUAUACAAUCAUACUGCCAUUUCAUCUUCCAUGGAUUCUGCUGGUACAGAGACCUGGAAAAUAGAAAGAAUACACCAUCAUGUGAGAGAGAGGGUUACGUGUGUGUGUGUGCACGCGACCGAUUUGUGAAUUCACACACCAUCAGUUUCACUUCUUUUUUCAACAAGUAUUCACAAAUGUAAUCUAGUUCUGUACGUAGCACCAAUCAAUUUUUUAGGUGCAGGAUCAUUUGGACCUUUGUCGCGUUGCCCUGAUGUGAAAUAUAACCAUCCUUUCCAGUAUCCGACCAAUGUAGUUUUUACACGAAAGGGCAUCCGUCCUAUCACUGACCAUUCCUGUAGUUACGAUCAAAUAAACAGUUCAGCCAACAUUACAUUUGAUCACCCACGACAUUUACAAAGAGUGUGUAAACUAGAAGAAAAUAAGGAAGCUAGAAGUUUAAGCAUUAGGGGGGAAAUAGAAUAAGAAUGAGACUAUUUCAUACCAUGGUAUCUAGAUUGAAUCGUAUAACUUCCCCAAUCAGAAUCAUUCUUUUCGUCACAGGGUGUUUAUCUGUGGUUCCUCCCACAAUUAUAAUGGAAUUGUUCACAAUUUGCCAUGCAAAUUCUAUAUGGGAUUCUGGCUUUGGCAUAGGUGCCAAUUCCUUCCAUUGUUUUCCAUCACCAUCUAGCAUGUAAACAUCACCGUAUACAACCUACAUAAAACAGAUACAUAGAAUAAUAUCAAUGAAGUAUUGAAGUAUAUAUAAUAAACAUUUGUCAACAUUUCUAUAAUAUCCUUAUAUCUAUUUCCAUGUUCUACAGUUUAUAACGUUUUUUUGUCUUGAUUGCAUUGGAAAAAUAUAUUGUGAGUUGAGAGUGAUCAGCAAAGAUCAUAGUCAGUUUUGUAUUAUGUUAUGAUUGCAGAAAAAAUAGUAACAUGGUUCCAUUACUUCCAUACC
rnacentral:lncRNA from 1 species